rnacentral:rRNA from 1 species
UACGAAGGGGGCUAGCGUUGCUCGGAAUCACUGGGCGUAAAGGGUGCGUAGGCGGGUCUUUAAGUCAGGGGUGAAAUCCUGGAGCUCAACUCCAGAACUGCCUUUGAUACUGAGGAUCUUGAGUUCGGGAGAGGUGAGUGGAACUGCGAGUGUAGAGGUGAAAUUCGUAGAUAUUCGCAAGAACACCAGUGGCGAAGGCGGCUCACUGGCCCGAUACUGACGCUGAGGCGCGAAAGCGUGGGGAGCGAACCGG